rnacentral:rRNA from 1 species
UACGUAGGGUGCAAGCGUUGUCCGGAAUUAUUGGGCGUAAAGAGCUCGUAGGCGGUCUGUCGCGUCGGAUGUGAAAACCCAGGGCUCAACCCUGGGCCUGCAUUCGAUACGGGCAGACUAGAGUUCGGUAGGGGAGACUGGAAUUCCUGGUGUAGCGGUGAAAUGCGCAGAUAUCAGGAGGAACACCGAUUGCGAAGGCAGCUCGCUGGGACGUGACUGACGCUGAGACGCGAAAGCGUGGGGAGCAAACAGG